rnacentral:snRNA from 1 species
AUGCUCGCUUCGGCAGCACAUAUACUAAAUUUGGAACGAUACAGAGAAGAUUAGCAUGGGCCCUGCGUAAAAAGCAAUUAAAAUUUUACACAUUUUAUAAAAAUUA